rnacentral:piRNA from 1 species
UGGUCAUCAACAUCUGGCUGUUACUCCAGC